rnacentral:rRNA from 1 species
AAUCAACGCUGGCGGCGUGCCUCAGACAUGCAAGUCGAACGAGAAAGUUCCCUUCGGGGAAUGAGUAAAGUGGCGCACGGGUGAGUAACACGUAGGUAAUCUACCUUCGGGUGGGGAAUAACCCAGGGAAACUUGGGCUAACACCGCAUAAUGCAGCGGCACCACAUGGUGACAGUUGUUAAAGCGGGGGAUUUUAGGACCUCGCGCCUGAAGAGGAGCCUGCGGCGGAUUAGCUUGUUGGUAAGGUAACGGCUUACCAAGGCGACGAUCGGUAGCUGGUCUUAGAGGACGAUCAGCCACACUGGAACUGAGACACGGUCCAGACUCCUACGGGAGGCAGCAGUGGGGAAUAUUGGACAAUGGGCGCAAGCCUGAUCCAGUCAUGCCGCGUGAGUGAAGAAGG